rnacentral:rRNA from 1 species
CGCGAUCACUCCUACGGGGAGGCAGCAGUAGGGAAUCUUCCACAAUGGGCGCAAGCCUGAUGGAGCAACACCGCGUGAGUGAAGAAGGGUUUCGGCUCGUAAAGCUCUGUUGUUAAAGAAGAACACGUAUGAGAGUAACUGUUCAUACGUUGACGGUAUUUAACCAGAAAGUCACGGCUAACUACGUGCCAGCAGCCGCGGUAAUACGUAGGUGGCAAGCGUUAUCCGGAUUUAUUGGGCGUAAAGAGAGUGCAGGCGGUUUUCUAAGUCUGAUGUGAAAGCCUUCGGCUUAACCGGAGAAGUGCAUCGGAAACUGGAUAACUUGAGUGCAGAAGAGGGUAGUGGAACUCCAUGUGUAGCGGUGGAAUGCGUAGAUAUAUGGAAGAACACCAGUGGCGAAGGCGGCUACCUGGUCUGCAACUGACGCUGAGACUCGAAAGCAUGGGUAGCGAACAGGAUUAGAUACCCUGGUAG